rnacentral:rRNA from 1 species
UGCUGCUUUGCUGACGACUGGCGGACGGGUGAGUAAUGUCUGGGAAACUGCCUGAUGGAGGGGGAUAACUACUGGAAACGGUAGCUAAUACCGCAUAACGUCGCAAGACCAGAGAGGGGGACCUUCGGGCCUCUUGCCAUCGGAUGUGCCCAGAUGGGAUUAGCUAGUAGGUGGGGUAACGGCUCACCUAGGCGACGAUCCCUAGCUGGUCUGAGAGGAUGACCAGCCACACUGGAACUGAGACACGGUCCAGACUCCUACGGGAGGCAGCAGUGGGGAAUAUUGCACAAUGGGCGCAAGCCUGAUGCAGCCAUGCCGCGUGUGUGAAGAAGGCCUUCGGGUUGUAAAGCACUUUCAGCGGGGAGGAAGGCGGUGAGGUUAAUAACCUCAUCGAUUGACGUUACCCGCAGAAGAAGCACCGGCUAACUCCGUGCCAGCAGCCGCGGUAAUACGGAGGGUGCAAGCGUUAAUCGGAAUUACUGGGCGUAAAGCGCACGCAGGCGGUCUGUCAAGUCGGAUGUGAAAUCCCCGGGCUCAACCUGGGAACUGCAUUCGAAACUGGCAGGCUAGAGUCUUGUAGAGGGGGGUAGAAUUCCAGGUGUAGCGGUGAAAUGCGUAGAGAUCUGGAGGAAUACCGGUGGCGAAGGCGGCCCCCUGGACAAAGACUGACGCUCAGGUGCGAAAGCGUGGGGAGCAAACA